UACGUAGGGUGCGAGCGUUGUCCGGAAUUAUUGGGCGUAAAGAGCUCGUAGGCGGCUUGUUGCGUCGGCUGUGAAAUCCCGUGGCUUAACUGCGGGUCUGCAGCCGAUACGGGCAGGCUGGAGUUCGGUAGGGGAGACUGGAAUUCCUGGUGUAGCGGUGAAAUGCGUAGAUAUCGUUUGGAACGCCAAAGGUGAAAACAGACAGCUGGGAGUGUGCUGACGCUGAGACACGAAAGCCAGGGGAGCGAACGGG
rnacentral:rRNA from 1 species